rfam:Lupinus angustifolius cultivar Tanjil chromosome LG16, whole genome shotgun sequence.
UUGUUUGCUGGUGGAGCAUCUUCAAGAUUCACAAGCUUUAGGGGCUUUUGCUUGAGGUGUGGUCCCUUUUGUUGCCCUGAACCUGAACCUAUUAGCCCUUUUAUGUGAGAAUCUUGAUGAUGCUGCAGUGGCAAUAAA